GAUGAACGCUGGCGGCGUGCCCAAUACAUGCAAGUCGAGCGAACGGACGAGAAGCUUGCUUUUCUGAUGUUAGCGGCGGACGGGUGAGUAACACGUGGAUAACCUACCUAUAAGACUGGGAUAACUUCGGGAAACCGGAGCUAAUACCGGAUAAUAUUUUGAACCGCAUGGUUCAAAAGUGAAAGACGGUCUUGCUGUCACUUAUAGAUGGAUCCGCGCUGCAUUAGCUAGUUGGUAAGGUAACGGCUUACCAAGGCAACGAUGCAUAGCCGACCUGAGAGGAUGAUCGGCCACACUGGAACUGAGACACGGUCCAGACUCCUACGGGAGGCAGCAGUAGGGAAUCUUCCGCAAUGGGCGAAAGCCUGACGGAGCAACGCCGCGUGAGUGAUGAAGGUCUUCGGAUCGUAAAGCUCUGUUAUUAGGGAAGAACAUAUGUGUAAGUAACUGUGCACAUCUUGACGGUACCUAAUCAGAAAGCCACGGCUAACUACGUG
rnacentral:rRNA from 1 species